rnacentral:ncRNA from 1 species
GGACUGGCGAAGAGAAGGAAUAGUAGCUGGCAAGCAUCUUUUUCCAGAGAGUCUGCGGUCAGUGUAAGCAGACAGGUGCUCCAGACGAACUCACCUUUGAGCUUGAUGGUGAAGACACUGCCUUUGUUGAGGCAGGUACUUAGCCGGAACGCUACCCUGCGUUACAGGGCAGAGUGGACAUGGGCAAAGCAUGCUCCGUGUCAACUAGGGUGGUACCACGGGAAACACAGGCCUCUCGUCCCUAGC